rnacentral:lncRNA from 14 species
CGACCAGAAACUUCCACUUCACAGGAGGAGCGGACUCUUGCCAGCCAGCUAGCGAGUGGCUGGUUGGCACUUCCUUUGGAGUCAAGCCAGCAACAUGUUAUACUCCAUGUACCUCGUCACAAGCAGGACCCCAAAGCAGAAGAACCAGAUGAGAUCUCUGUUUGUCAGUGUUGGUUCGGCACUCCUGGGUUCAAGUGGACAUCUUGCCUUAGCAUCCCAGGUCAAGAUUUUUUUUAACAUUAAUCAAUAAAACAGUAUUAAAUUAAGAGG